rnacentral:rRNA from 1 species
CAACUGAAUAUAUAGGUUGGUGCGAGCUAACCCAGCGAACUGAAACAUCUAAGUACCUGCGGGAAAAGAAAGAAAACUCGACUCCCAUAGUAGCGGCGAGCGAACUGGGAUCAGCCUAAACCAAUGCAGUGCCAAGGUUACGGCCAUUGCUGCAUCGGUGUCGUGGGACCUACCGGGCCAGCCGUAAGAGGCCCAGGGAGUUACAAAGUAUCAAGAUAGCAGAACGGCAUGGAAAGGCCGGCCGCAGUGGGUGAGAGCCCCGUAUGCGAAAUCUUCGAUGCCUCCCGUAGUCAUCCCGAGUAGCACCAGACACGAGAAACCUGGUGUGAAUCUGGGGGGACCACCCCCUAAGGCUAAGUACUACUGGACGACCGAUAGCGUAAUAGUAGCGCGAGCGAAAGGUGAAAAGUACCCCGACGAGGGGAGUGAAAUAGUACCUGAAACCAUGAACUUACAAGCUGUCGGAGGCCUAUGGCUCCUCGGAGCAAUGGCUGACGGCGUGCCUUUUGCAUAAUGAUCCGGCGAGUUACUCUGUCUGGCGAGGUUAAGGACUUACGGUCUGGAGCCGAAGGGAAACCGAGUGUGAAUAGCGCGAUUACAGUCAGGCGGAGUAGACCCGAAAGCGAGUGAUCUAUCCAUGGGCAGGGUGAAGCGGAUGUAACAGUUCGUGGAGGCCCGAACCAUUGUAGGUUGAAAACUGCUUGGAUGACCUGUGGAUAGGAGUGAAAGGCUAAUCAAACUCGCAGAUAGCUGGUUCUCCCCGAAAUAGCUUUUGGGCUAGCCUCUAGUGAUAGUUAACGGGGGUAGAGCUACUGAUUGGGAUAGGGGCCACACCCGGUACCCUACCCUGUCAAACUCCGAAUACCGUUAACCGUAUCUAGGGAGUCAGACUAUGGGCGAUAAGGUCCGUGGUCGAGAGGGAAACAACCCAGACCACCGGCUAAGGUCCCGAAUACACACUAAGUGCAGAAAAGGAGGUGGGACUUCUACAACAGCCAGGAUGUUGGCUUAGAAGCAGCCAUCAUUUAAAGAGUGCGUAACAGCUCACUGGUCGAGAAGUCCUGCGCCGAAAAUGAACGGGGCUCAAGUGUGUAACCGAAGCCGUGGCUUGCAUGAUUUCGUUGAUUUCAUGCAGGGGUAGGGGAGCGUUCCAAGUGGGUGAAGCGUGACGGUGACGACACGUGGACGCUUUGGAAGUGAUAAUGCCGGAAUGAGUAACGAGAAAGCAGGUGAGAAUCCUGCUCGCCGAAAACCUAAGGUUUCCUGGGCACGGUAAAUCCGCCCAGGGUUAGUCGGACCCUAAGUCGAGGCUGAAAGGCGUAGACGAUGGACAACAGGUUAAUAUUCCUGUACCACCACAGACGCGUUUGACCGAUGGGGGGACGCGGAAGGAAGCGUGAUCGCACUGACCGAAUAGUGCGUACAAGCGUGAGGCCGGCGCAUAGGAAAAUCCGUGCGCGUAAAGCCAGGCGUGAUGUCGAGCUCAUUUGAGCGAAGUCACAGGACUGACCGCCGAGAAAAUCCUCUAGGGAGUUUCUGUGGUGUCCGUACCUAAACUGACACAGGUGGGUGAGGUGAGAAUCCUAAGGCGCUCGAGAGAACCGUUGUGAAGGAACUCGGCAAAUUGACCCCGUAACUUCGGGAUAAGGGGUGCCCUUGGAGGUGUAGGUCUUUUCGACCGAAGCUUUUAAGGGCCGCAGAGAAUUGGCCCGUGCGACUGUUUACUAAAAACACAGGUCUGUGCUAAGUCUUAAAGACGCUGUAUACAGACUGACGCCUGCCCAAUGCCGGAAGGUUAAGAGGAGGGGUUAGCUUCGGCGAAGCUCUGAAUUGAAGCCCCGGUGAAUGGCGGCCGUAACUAUGACGGUCCUAAGGUAGCGAAGUUCCUUGUCGGGUAAGUUCCGACC